rnacentral:rRNA from 1 species
AUUGAACGCUGGCGGCAUGCCUAACACAUGCAAGUCGAACGGUAACGCGGAGAGCUUGCUCUCUGGCGACGAGUGGCGGACGGGUGAGUAAUACUUGGGAAUCUGCCCAGUAGUGGGGGACAACAUUCGGAAACGGAUGCUAAUACCGCAUACGCACUACGGUGGAAAGUGGGGGAUCUUCGGACCUCACGCUAUUGGAUGAGCCCAAGUCGGAUUAGCUUGUUGGUGAGGUAAAAGCUCACCAAGGCGACGAUCCGUAGCUGGUCUGAGAGGACGAUCAGCCACACUGGGACUGAGACACGGCCCAGACUCCUACGGGAGGCAGCAGUGGGGAAUAUUGGACAAUGGGCGCAAGCCUGAUCCAGCAAUGCCGCGUGUGUGAAGAAGGCCUGCGGGUUGUAAAGCACUUUCAGUAGAGAAGAAAAGCCUAGGGUUAAUACCCCUGAGUCUUGACGUAACCUACAGAAGAAGCACCGGCUAACUCCGUG